rnacentral:lncRNA from 1 species
CUUCUACACACCUAGGCUACACUAUACAGCCUAUUGUGCUCCUAGGCUGCAAACCUGUACAGCUACAGCAUGGUACUGUACUGAAUGCUGGAGGCAAUUGUACACAAUUGUAAGCAUUUGUGUACCUAAAAGUAGAAACAGGGUUUCACCAUGUUGGCCAGGCUGGUAUUGAACUCCUGACCUCAAGUGAUCUGCCCGCCUUGGCCUCCCAAAGUGCUGGGAUUACAGGCGUACGCCAUUGCAUCCGGCAAUCCCCAUUAUAAUCAUAUAUAUAUAUAUGCAGUCCAUCAUUGACCAAAACAUUGUUAUGCAGCGCAUGACUGUAACUGGGUAGACGGUGGUGGUGGCUUUUAACUGAGAUGGGAAAACCUGUGGGGUCGGGGAGAGGUUUAGGAAGAGAAAUCAAGCAUUAUACUUUAGCCAUAUUAGUUAAGACAUCCUGGCCAGGCGCGGUGGCUCACUUCUGUAAUCCCAGCACUUUGGGAGGCCAAGGCGGGUGGAUCACGAGGUCAGGGGUUUGAGAUCAACCUGGCCAACAUGGUGAAACACCGUCUCUACUAAAAAUACAAAAACUAGCUGGGUAUGGUGGCAUGCGCCUGUGGUCUCAGCUACUCCAGAGGCUGAGGCAGGAGAAUCUCUUGAACCCGGGAGGCAGAGGUUGCAGUGAGCCUAGACUGCGCUAUUGCACUCCAGCCUCGGCAACAGAGGAAGACUCCGCUCAAAAAAAAGAUAUCUAGGUGGAGGUCACACAUAGGUUAGGGAUAUACAAGUUUGGAGAUCAGAGCUGGAGGGUAAAUACGCUGGAGUGAUUGGGAGAUAGACGUCUUUUAAUGCUAUAAGACUGGAGCACCUAGAGAGAAAAUGUGGCGGGAAAAGACUGAACAUGGGCCGGGUGUGUUGGCUCAUGCCUGUAAUCUUAGCACUUUGGGAGGCUGAGGCGGGUGGAUCACCUAAGGUCAGGAGUUCGAGGCCAGCCUGCCCAACAUGACAAAACCCCGUCUCCACAAAAAAUAGAAAAAUUAUCUGGGCAUAGUGACGCACGCCUGUAGUCCCAGCUACUCAGGAGGCUGAGGCAGGAGAAUCGUUUGAGCCCGGGAGGCCAAGGUUGCAGUCAGCCGAGAUUGAGCCACUGCACUCCAGCCUGGGCAUGAGAAUCUGUCUCAAACAAAAAAAAAAGAAAAAAGAAGAAGAAGAAAAGAAAAGGCUGAACAUGGACCUCUGGGGCACCCCAACACCUAGAGAUUGGUUGAGGAGGAAGAAUUGGCAACGGAGACUAGAGCGGUCAGAGAGGCAACAGGAAAACCAGGGGGAGUGGGGUGUUCUGGAAAUCCAGAAAAGAGGGUGUAUGAAGAAGGAGAUUUUGCUAUCUAUUCCACAGCAUGGUUAGUAAUAACGUAUUGUAUAUUAUGAAAUUAUUAAAAGUCUAUUUUAAAUGUUCUCACCACGAAAAAAUAAAUAGAUGAGGUGAUGGAUGUGUUAAUUAGCUUGAUUUAAUCAUUCUACAAUGUAUCCUUAUAUGGAAACAUCACAUUUUACCCCAUAAAUAUAUAUAAUUAUUUGUCAAUUAAAAAUAAUAAGUGAGGCCGGGCUCAGG